GGGAUUGCCCUAGUAACGGCGAGUGAAGCGGCAACAGCUCAAAUUUGAAAUCUGGCUUCGGCCCGAGUUGUAAUUUGCAGAGGAUGUUUCUGGCGCGGUGCCUUCCGAGUUCCCUGGAACGGGACGCCACAGAGGGUGAGAGCCCCGUAUGGUUGGACACCAAGCCUGUGUGAAACUCCUUCGACGAGUCGAGUAGUUUGGGAAUGCUGCUCAAAAUGGGAGGUAAAUCUCUUCUAAAGCUAAAUACUGGCCAGAGACCGAUAGCGCACAAGUAGAGUGAUCGAAAGAUGAAAAGCACCUUGAAAAGGGGGUUAAACAGUACGUGAAAUUGUUGAAAGGGAAGCGCUCAUGACCAGACUUGUGCCGGGCGGUUCAUCCAGGGUUCUCCCUGGUGCACUCCGCCCGGUUCAGGCCAGCAUCGGUUUUUGCUGGGGGAUAAGAACGGCAGGAACGUGGCCCUCCUUCGGGUGGGUGUUAUAGCCUGCCGUACGAUACCCUGGCGGAGACCGAGGUUCGCGCUCCGCAAGGAUGCUGGCGUAAUGGUCAUCAGCGACCCGUCUUGAAACACGGACCAAGGAGUCGUCCAUUAGAGCGAGCGUUUGGGUGUCAAACCCGCACGCGUAAUGAAAGUGAAAUUAGGUGAGAGCUUCGGCGCAUCAUCGACCGAUCCUGAUGUUUUCGGAUGGAUUUGAGUAAGAGUUUUAACGGACGGACCCGAAAGACAGUGAACUAUGCUUGUAUAGGGUGAAGCCAGAGGAAACUCUGGUGGAGGCUCGCAGCGGUUCUGACGUGCAAAUCGAUCGUCAAAUAUGAGCAUGGGGGCGAAAGACUAAUCGAACUGUCUAGUAGCUGGUUAC
rnacentral:rRNA from 1 species